rnacentral:rRNA from 1 species
UCCCUUAGAUGUUCUGGGCCGCACGCGCGCUACACUGACGGAGGCAGCGAGCGUGUCCUUCGCCGGCAGGUGCGGGCAAUCUUGCGAGUCUCCGUCGUGCUGGGGAUAGAUGGUUGCAAUUGUCGAUCUUGAACGAGGAAUUCCUAGUAAGCGCGAGUCAUCAGCUCGCGCUGAUUACGUCCCUGCCCUUUGUACACACCGCCCGUCGCUACUACAGAGUGCCCGUGUCCAAGAAACGGUCGGACCUGUGCGGCCUCUCCGGGCGACCGGAGGGCCGUUACGGGGAAGACCCUUUAUUUGACGCGGGUCGAUGAAGUAAAAGUCGUAACA